GAUUGACAAUAAGAUGUGGAUGUUCAUCUUUAAUGAACUCUAGUAACCAAAGUGGAAACCAGCUAACUUUGAUGGUGCGACUGACCACCUUCUCAGCAAUAGCUGAGUAUUUACUCCUUCUUGAAACGAGCAAGCCUGUUAACUGUGAAAGUGAAGAGAUGAAGCAAGCAAAAAACAAAGAGAAGUGUGAAGAGAUUCACUGCCAUAUCAUCUAUGACACUGUAUCAGCUCCUACUUUUAGGAUCCAUGAGUGAAUAGAUAACGACUGGUUGGUUGGUGACGGCACCGAGGCGGGAGGAUUUUGGUGAAGCAGACUGAUGCAGCACGGGAGCGUGGAGCAGACGACGGUCGGUGACUCUCUGGGGGGAAGCACUGAACCUGCGGCUGGUUCUGCCGACCCCAACACAAGGUCCCUUCUCUGGGAGGCUUGAGGGUGAGGUGAUGCCCGCCGGAGAGGGACAAAGGACAUGAUCAGAGCACCUCUAAAGUGCUUUUCUUCACGAAGGCAAGGCAAGGCUGGAAGACAAGGAAGUGUGACCCAGUGGAGAAGCGUAUUCUCACAACGCGGCACUACGCUGGCAACCGUGACUGUCAGCAAAACACCCCCUGUUCUGACUGUCAAAACUCAAGUGAAGAUAAGCUUACAAAAAAGGUUAGUACACAUCCUGACUUGAUUUAUUUUUGAGUCCUUUUUGGCCCAGUUUCUUCUUCUCCACACUUCCUAGAACAACAAAAGGCCGGAGGCAGGUGUCGGGAUGGCACUGGUUUUUCUCAUUUAAUCUGUGAGGCACAGUAAAAAACAAUCAAUAAUCAUGGACCAUGCUCUGGAUUUGUCUAAGCAUAAGUGACUCAAAUACUAACACGUGAAUUUAGUAAAGUUAGAGUCUGUGGAGUGGAGAUAAAUUACAGCAGCAAUUGAAGUUGAAUGCGAUGUAGAAAUCCAACCAACAGAAGACUGUCUGGAAACAAUUAUUUAGAAAGCUGCUGACCCUCUAUUUCUUUAAAGAGUUAAACAUUUGGAUUGGUUAACUGGCAGCCGCAAUAAUAGGCAUAUGCUCUAAUCUUUGAUCCGUAGCUGAAUUUGCAACUCUUUGUAUGAGAAGCAGAUCACAUAGAUUUGCAUAUUUUUAAGGAUCUGUAGGGAGAAAAAGAAGAACAAAAACUGCUCUUCCAAGAUGCCACUUUGAGAUCACACAGAGUGUCAUGGGUCCCCCGAAGUACACUAAUGUUCAGAGCCAGAUGCAAGACUCACAGAUUUUAUAAAUGGCCCUAAACUGUGACAUGCACAUCUGAAGUUUAAUCAAAAUUCCUCCUAGAACAGAGAAUUGCAAGCCGAGGUUGUAUUGUAACUCUUCACAGAGGUAUGUAUGUCUGUCAUUAAGAUCUCAUUUCCACGUCCAAA